GGGGGGGGGGGGGGGGGGGGGGGGGGGGGGGGGGGCGGGCGGGGGGGGCGGGCGGGGGGGGGGUGCUCGGGGGGCGAACGGGUGAGUAACACGUGAGUGACCUGCCCUUGACUGUGGGAGAACUUCAGGAAACUGGGGCUAAUACCGGAUAGGAGCUCCUGCUGCAUGGUGGGGGUUGGAAAGUUCCGGCGGUUGGGGAUGGACUCGCGGCUUAUCAGCUUGUUGGUGGGGUAGUGGCUUACCAAGGCUUUGACGGGUAGCCGGCCUGAGAGGGUGACCGGCCACAUUGGGACUGAGAUACGGCCCAGACUCCUACGGGAGGCAGCAGUGGGGAAUAUUGCACAAUGGGCGGAAGCCUGAUGCAGCAACGCCGCGUGCGGGAUGACGGCCCUCGGGUUGUAAACCGCUUUCGCCUGUGACGAAGCGUGAGUGACGGUAAUGGGUAAAGAAGCACCGGCUAACUACGUG
rnacentral:rRNA from 1 species